CCUACGGGUGGCAGCAGUGGGGGAUAUUGCACAAUGGGGGAAACCCUGAUGCAGCGACGCCGCGUGAGUGAAGAAGGAUUUCGGUAGGUAAAGCUCUAUCAGCAGGGAAGAAAAUGACGGUACCUGAUUAAGAAGCCCCGGCUAACUACGUGCCAGCAGCCGCGGUAAUACGUAGGGGGCAAGCGUUAUCCGGAUUUAUUGGGUUAAAAGGGGGCGGAGGCGGAAGGUUAAGUCAGCGGUAAAAUGUCGGUGCUCAACACCGGACUGCCGUUGAAACUGGUCUUCUUGAGUGAGCGAGAGGCAUGCGGAAUGCGUGGUGUAGCGGUGAAAUGCAUAGAUAUCACGCAGAACUCCGAUUGCGAAGGCAGCAUACCGGCGCUCAACUGACGCUGAGGCACGAAAGCGUGGGGAUCGAACAGGAUUAGAUACCCGUGUAGUC
rnacentral:rRNA from 1 species